GACGAACGCUGGCGGCGUGCUUAACACAUGCAAGUCGAACGGAAAGGCCCUGCUUUUGUGGGGUGCUCGAGUGGCGAACGGGUGAGUAACACGUGAGUAACCUGCCCUUGACUUUGGGAUAACUUCAGGAAACUGGGGCUAAUACCGGAUAGGAGCUCCUGCUGCAUGGUGGGGGUUGGAAAGUUUCGGCGGUUGGGGAUGGACUCGCGGCUUAUCAGCUUGUUGGUGGGGUAGUGGCUUACCAAGGCUUUGACGGGUAGCCGGCCUGAGAGGGUGACCGGCCAGAUGGGGACUGAGAUACGGCACAGACGGCUACGGGAGGCAGCAGGGGGGAGUCGUGCACAAUGGGCGGAAGCGUGAUGCAGCGUCGCCGCGGGGGGGAAGACGGCUUUCGGGUAGUAAACCGCUUUCGACUGAGACGAAGCGUGAGUGACGGUAAUGGGUAAAGAAGCACCGGCUAACUACGUG
rnacentral:rRNA from 1 species